rnacentral:lncRNA from 1 species
AUAAACCUAGGAUAGAAAGCUGCGCAGCUGAGCUCCCAGACUUCACACAACUAAACAGUCUGCAUUGUGACGAUCACAGAAGCCAAGGAAUUCACACAUUGAUCAGAGCAACAAAAGUGAAAACUUAAGAGUUGGGGCUGAAGAACGUAACCUUUCUAAACCACAGCAGCACGGCUGAUAACAGCAGUCUCUUCGGACAGUUCCAAGAGUGUGUAGUACCUCAGCUUCCUGGCCCAGCACAAUUCUGAAGCACGCAUUACUAAAUAAACAAUGGAGAUAAA